rnacentral:rRNA from 1 species
CCUACGGGAGGCAGCAGUGAGGAAUAUUGGUCAAUGGCCGGGAGUCUGAACCAGCCAAGUCGCGUGAGGGAAGACGGCCCUACGGGUUGUAAACCUCUUUUGUCAGGGAGCAAGGUGCAGGUCGGGACCUGCUGUGGGAGUACCUUAAGAAAAAGCAUCGGCUAACUCCGUGCCAGUAGCCGCGGUAAUACGGAGGAUGCGAGCGUUAUCCGGAUUUAUUGGGGUUAAAGGGUGCGCAGGCGGAGGGACAAGUCAGCGGUAAAAUCGCGGGGCUCAACCCCGCUCCGCCGUUGAAACUGUGUCCCUUGAGUGCGCGAAGGGUAGGCGGAAUGCGUGGUGUAGCGGUGAAAUGCAUAGAUAUCACGCAGAACUCCGAUCGCGAAGGCAGCCUACCGGAGCGCAACUGACGCUCAUGCACGAAAGCGUGGGUAUCGAACAGGAUUAGAUACCCGGGUAGUC